AGGAGUACAGUCCGUGAAAGCUACCUGUCGGAAUUAUGGCAUCACCGUUAUAAACGGGUAAGGUCACGGCAAGACUAGCCGUUAAAUAGGCAUUAAGUGUAAGUGUAGUAAUACAUUAAGCUGAAAUGUACUAAUAGACCGAGGGUUUGAAUCAU
rnacentral:ncRNA from 1 species